GGCCUUCGGGUUGUAAAACUCUGUCUUCAGGGAAGAAAAAAAUGACGGUACCUGAGGAGGAAGCCCCGGCUAACUACGUGCCAGCAGCCGCGGUAAUACGUAGGUGGCAAGCGUUGUCCGGAAUUACUGGGCGUAAAGAGCGCGUAGGCGGCCAUUUAAGUCAGGAGUGAAAACUGGGGGCUCAACCGCCAGCCUGCUCUUGAAACUGGAUCUCUUGAGGGUAUGAGAGGAAAGCGGAAUUCCCAGUGUAGCGGUGAAAUGCGUAGAUAUUGGGAGGAACACCAGUGGCGAAGGCGGCUUUCUGGCAUACAACUGACGCUGAGGCGCGAAAGCGUGGGGAGCAAACGGGAUUAGAUACCCCGGUAGUCCACGCCGUAAACGAUGGGUGCUAGGUGUAGGAGGUAUCGACCCCUUCUGUGCCGUAGUUAACACAAUAAGUACCCCGCCUGGGGAGUACGGCCGCAAGGUUGAAACUCAAAUGAAUUGACGG
rnacentral:rRNA from 1 species